rnacentral:tRNA from 1 species
GAGGAUAUAGCUCAGUGGUAGAGUGCGUGCUUAGCAAGCACGAGGUCCUGGGUUCAAUCCUCAGUACCUCCG